GCCUUAGUAGCUCAGAGAAUAGAGCGUCGGUCUUGUAAGCCGAAUGUCGGAAGUUUAAAUCUUCCCUAACGCU
rnacentral:tRNA from 1 species